CAAUAGCGUAUAUUAAAGUUGUUGCAGUUAAAAAGCUCGUAGUUGAAUUUCUGUCAGGAGUGACCGGGCCUUUGGAUGAACUUCCAUUGUUUUUUGCUCUGUUUGUCAUCUCUAGACAUCCUGAAAUAUUUUUUAAAAAUAUUUCUCUUUUACUGUUAGCAAAAUAGAGUGUUCCAAGCAAAGCGUAGUUUUGAAUACAUUAGAAUGGAAUAAUAAGAUAGGACUUUGGUGUUAUUUUGUUGGUUUGCACGCCAAGGUAAUGAUUAAUAGGGACAGUUGGGGGUAUUCGUAUCUAAUUGUCAGAGGUGAAAUUCUUGGAUUUAUGAAAGACGAACUACUGCGAAAGCAUUUACCAAGGAUGUUUUCAUUAA
rnacentral:rRNA from 1 species